UUUAUUACUAAUAUCUUAUUGUAGAAGGGCCUUAAGUGUAAGCGUCUAAAGCAAAUGCACUACGUUUUUUGCACUGAACUCUAUAUACACUGGAAUGCGCAUCUCCAUCUAACAAGCAUAGCGAGACGUGGCACAAAUUGAUCAACGCCAGUUUUGUUUGGCCUGGUAUUUGAGCAAAUCAGAAGCGCGUUCCACGCGCGGUCCCGCUACAAGUUAGCGACAUGAGAUGCUGUGUGCCCGGGUGUGGGCAGAGAAGUGAAAAGAAGAUUUCAUCUCAUAGAUUUCCAGUGAAAGACCCGAAUCGAACUCAACAAUGGAUUUAUAGAAUAUAUGCGUUUUUGGAAAUGCAUAAUUGUAAACCAGAAAGCUUAAAAGAGACAAAAAAAUCUGUUUUAUGUUCCAAACAUUUCCUUAAUAGCGAUUACCUUGUUAUAAC